GCCUGCUUCCAGUGACUGUGAUUCAGCCUGAAGAACGACCGCUUUUGACGGGAACUCGGCUUGUGAGUCCUGGGAUUCCCGACUUCCCUUUGGCUUCGGAUGCCAGCACUAUCGACUUCCGGUCCGAUCUCAGAGACCGCCGAACCAGCAGCGCUACGGCCACAGGUCUUCCAGUUCCGGAAAGGCUCCGCGAGCACCGCCGCGAAUCCCGCGUGAGAAACGCACGGCUCCCCGCUUCUGGUGCGUUACCAAAUCCUUCUGGGAGGGGAGGGGGGGCGGCACUGGGGUCGGAAACCUCGGUUCCGCUUCCACCGCGACUCAUUUACCGCUCCUGAGACUCACACUUCCAGCCUGUGCCCUGAGCUUCCCGUCCGUCCCCGCAACAGCGCUGCGCAGCAACAAGGUUCCACUCCCGACCGGCACCCGGAAACGGUCUGUGCAGAGAUGGGG
rnacentral:lncRNA from 1 species